rnacentral:rRNA from 1 species
GAUGAACGCUAGCGGGAGGCCUAACACAUGCAAGCCGAGCGGUAUGGGUAGCUUGCUACCCAGAGAGCGGCGUACGGGUGCGUAACACGUGUGCAACCUGCCCCUAUCCGGGGGAUAGCCCUCCGAAAGGAGGAUUAAUGCCCCAUAAUAUAUCUGGUGGCAUCACUAGAUAUUGAAAACCCCGGUGGAUAGGGAUGGGCACGCGCAAGAUUAGAUAGUUGGCGGGGUAACGGCCCACCAAGUCGAUGAUCUUUAGGGGUCCUGAGAGGGAGAUCCCCCACACUGGUACUGAGACACGGACCAGACUCCUACGGGAGGCAGCAGUGAGGAAGAUUGGACAAUGGGUGGAAGCCUGAUCCAGCCAUCCCGCGUGAGGGACGACGGCCCUAUGGGUUGUAAACCUCUUUUGUACGGGGAUAAACCUAUCUACGUGUAGAUAGCUGAAGGUACCGUACGAAUAAGCACCGGCUAACUCCGUG